GCCCGUUGGUCAAGCGGUUAAGACACCGCCCUUUCACGGCGGUAACACGGGUUCGAAUCCC
rnacentral:tRNA from 1 species